CAGCCGCCGCGGUAAUACGGAGGGAGCUAGCGUUGUUCGAAAUUACUGGGCGUAAAGCGCGCGUAGGCGGUUACUCAAGUCAGAGGUGAAAGCCCGGGGCUCAACCCCGGAACUGCCUUUGAAACUAGGUGACUAGAAUCUUGGAGAGGUCAGUGGAAUUCCGAGUGUAGAGGUGAAAUUCGUAGAUAUUCGGAAGAACACCAGUGGCGAAGGCGGCCCGCUGGACAAGUAUUGACGCUGAGGUGCGAAAGCGUGGGGAGCAAACAGGAUUAGAUACCCCCGUAGUCUGUCUCUUAUACAC
rnacentral:rRNA from 1 species